UUAUUUUUUGGCGCUUAGAUUUAUGUGCUUAGUUUGAUAAAUAAAUUGAUUUUGUGAUCUUGCAGCUUAGGAAGUUUAUCUAAUUGAUAAGACAUGUUGUUCAAUAUCAAAUUUAUUGGUAUUUUGGGUUUUUUUUUUCCACCAUGAGGCAUGAACUGCUUCCUCUUUAGCUUUGUUAUGAUUAAGGUUUAGAAAGUUUGAUAUAUGUAUGUUAACAUGUAAGCUGAUUAGCCGAAACAUUUAGGCAGUUUUGUAUAUGUAAUUGUGUAAUAAUACAUGCAUAUUUAUACACGAUCUCAUUUUUAGUUAAUUACGUGACAUAGAGAUGCUAUAGAUUUCUGUUUGGUUGUCUCGCUAAACUUUCAGUGAGAUAAGUUUUUUGCAUGGCAUUCAUCCCAAUACUGGUUUGUAGUAACAACAUGUCUUUUCCUAGCCUUGAUGGUUGUGAGGCAUCUAUAUACUUCUCAAUUUCUAUUGGGUUUUAGUGUCUAGUUCUAGUAUAGAGAGAGAGG
rnacentral:misc_RNA from 1 species